UAAAUAUGAUCAACCGUGAAUUAUCCAUGAGCUGCUUUACACAAGCCUUACGCGUUAAUAUUACCGCCAUGACGCCAUCUUGCAUGUUUGUGCCGGAAGUGCAGCACGGGACGCGGCGGACGCAGUGAAUUGGAGGCUGGAGCGACUGCUGGACGGUGCCAUGGAGGCCACUUUCUCAGAGAGGCGACACCUCAUCGUCAAGAGGAAAAUCCCGAUGGCCACCAUCCGUCGUCGAUGAAAACAAAGUCUGGAAAGAGCUGAGUCGGAUAAAAAAUGCCGACUUGCAGGACACCGACGAGUUGGAACUCUCCCGGGAAGCCAUGACCCCGAUUGUGGCCAAUGGCGAAGGUGAAAAAGCAGCUGGAUGCCUCACAGAUGACGAUGCGAUCGACCAUCUUCUCUGCACCGUGCUAAAGAGCACCAAGUUGUGUUCACAUCGGCGCCGCAGCCACGGCCUCAUGUGGCGGACGACUUCCACGCCAUAGAGGGCGUGCCAGCAGUGCAGUUUAAGGAGCAAACGGCAAAGGUGAACAAGCUGCUGACGUGGGGGGCCGCGUUCACAGUGUUUGCGCAGUCGUUCAAACGCCCAGCCAUCCGUCUGGCCGGCUACCUGAUGUGUGCCGUGAUCCUGAAGACCGAUGUGUCGCCGCCCCCAAAGCAGUGGGCGGCGAUGACCGGCUGCGCUUAGGAG